GAUGAACGCUGGCGGCGUGCCUAAUACAUGCAAGUCGAGCGAACGGACGAGAAGCUUGCUUUUCUGAUGUUAGCGGCGGACGGGUGAGUAACACGUGGAUAACCUACCUAUAAGACUGGGAUAACUUCGGGAAACCGGAGCUAAUACCGGAUAAUAUUUUGACCGCAUGGUUCAAAAGUGAAAGACGGUCUUGCUGUCACUUACAGAUGGAUCCGCGCUGCAUUAGCUAGUUGGUAAGGUAACGGCUUACCAAGGCAACGAUGCAUAGCCGACCUGAGAGGGUGAUCGGCCACACUGGAACUGAGACACGGUCCAGACUCCUACGGGAGGCAGCAGUAGGGAAUCUUCCGCAAUGGGCGAAAGCCUGACGGAGCAACGCCGCGUGAGUGAUGAAGGUCUUCGGAUCGUAAAACUCUGUUAUUAGGGAAGAACAUAUGUGUAAGUAACUGUGCACAUCUUGACGGUACCUAAUCAGAAAGCCACGGCUAACUACGUG
rnacentral:rRNA from 1 species